GUAGGUGGCAAGCGUUGUCCGGGAGUUAUUGGGGCGUAAAGCGCGCGCAGGCGGUUCUUUAAGUCUGAUGUGAAAGCCCACGGGCUCAACCGUGGAGGGUCAUUGGAAACUGGAGAACUUGAGUACAGAAGAGGAAAGCGGAAUUCCACGUGUAGCGGUGAAAUGCGUAGAGAUGUGGAGGAACACCAGUGGCGAAGGCGGCUUUCUGGUCUGUAACUGACGCUGAGGCGCGAAAGCGUGGGGAGCAAACAGGAUUAGAUACCCUGGUAGUCCACGCCGUAAACGAUGAGUGCUAAGUGUUAGGGGGUUUCCGCCCCUUAGUGCUGCAGCUAACGCAUUAAGCACUCCGCCUGGGGAGUACGGCCGCAAAGGCUGA
rnacentral:rRNA from 1 species